rnacentral:rRNA from 1 species
AGCAUAAUCACUUGCCUUUUAAUUGUAGGCCAGUAUGAAUGGAUAAACGAGAGACCCCCUGUCUCAUUGAAACAAACAAAAACUAAUACUCAGGUGAAGAAGCCUGAAUAAACCUAAAAGACAAGAAGACCCUAUAGAGUUUUACUUCAAAAUAAAAAUUUAUAGGUAAUAACACUAAAAUAAAUACUACAAAGUUUAGUUGGGGCGACUAAGGGAUAUAAAAACCUCCCUUUUCAUAAAGAAAAUAAUUCACUAUAUAUGAUCCUACAAAGACCCAAUAAAAUAACAUUACCUUAGGGAUAACAGGCUAAUCUCUCCAGAGAGCCCAAAUUGACGGAGAGGAUUGGCACCUCGAUGUUGGCUUAAGACAACUCCUAAAUGUAGCAGUUUAGAUAAGUUGGUUUGUUCAACCAUUAA